rnacentral:rRNA from 1 species
AUUGAACGCUGGCGGCAUGCCUUACACAUGCAAGUCGAACGACAGCACGGGUGCUUGCACCUGUGGCGAGUGGCGAACGGGUGAGUAAUACAUCGGAACGUACCUUAUCGUGGGGGAUAACGCAGCGAAAGCUGUGCUAUUACCGCAUACGCCCUGAGGGGGAAAGCGGGGGAUCGCAAGACCUCGCGCGAUUAGAGCGGCCGAUGCCUGAUUAGCUUGUUGGUGGGGUAAAAGCCCACCAAGGCGACGAUCAGUAGCUGGUCUGAGAGGACGAUCAGCCACACUGGGACUGAGACACGGCCCAGACUCCUACGGGAGGCAGCAGUGGGGAAUUUUGGACAAUGGGGGCAACCCUGAUCCAGCAAUGCCGCGUGAGUGAAGAAGGCCUUCGGGUUGUAAAGCUCUUUUGUCAGGGAAGAAACACCGGCUCUAACACAGUCCGGGAAUGACGGUACCUGAAGAAUAAGCACCGGCUAACUACGUGCCAGCAGCCGCGGUAA